UUUUUUUUCUUCUAGUAACAGCUGUGACUAUGCAGUUUUUGCUUCAAAAAGAACUUGAUUCUAUCUUAAGUUAAAGAUUUUUUUUAAACUGGUGAAAGAGCUACGGUUCCCUGGUUUUCUUUUCUUCUGUUUCUUUUCUUCUCCAAGUCAGAGUUACUUCUGGGCGAUGUCUUCAUGUCCAGAAGGGAAGAGGGGCUCAUCAAGGACACGAUGCUACAGACAAACAGAGAUAUUUAAUGCACAUAUGACCAAUUAUUAGGAAACACAUUGGUAAUCUGAAAGGAGUUUAAGGAAUAAAUUAUUCGAAAUGGUUUGGACAGAGCAGAAGGAAAUGACAUGGAAUGGUGAUGGCUGGCUGAAGAAAUCUUGGGGGCCAUAUAUUGAGCAUAAUGAAGCUGUCCUACUGACCCAGGUUACUUAUUCUGGACUGUUAAAUGGGAGGGAGAUAAAUCCACAUUUUAGUUUAAUUCAUAGGCCCCCAGAUACUGAACGUAAGAGGACAGAGGAAAAGUUGUUUCUGACUCUACCCUAAACAAUAUAACGGUCACAAGACAUAUUGCUCUCCUUGAUAACAGUGGCUGUGUGGUCCAGCUGCCACACAAUGUCCAAGACUGGUUUCACAAUGACAACUGCAUCUUUCACGAACAACUUCCAUAACUUGUUGUCUGCCUAUUAGAAGUCUCCUCUGACUAGAACGACAUCGAAAGAUGUUUCUCUUUUAUAUCUCAUGACAUCUGAAGAAUUUGGGGCAAGAAUGAACAGCACCUUGUAGGAUGCUCUUGGAAACUCUGUCUUCUUGGAAACAGUGCACAUAUUCCCCAUGAUCUUCUGCCCUUGGAGUCAGCCAGCUUGCAACAAAUUCAAGCUCUACCUACCACUCGAUAGCAAUGCUACUGAACUGUUCUGUGUCUCAGUUGUAAAAUGGGGUAAUAAUUGUACUUGUCUUCAAAAGUUGCUAUGACAAUAUUUUUAACGGAAAUUGUUAUGCAAGUUCACAUUAUUAUAAUUACACGGUUAAAUUAUCUUGCUUUUGAAAGUUUUAGGACAAAACAUGACCAUGUAAACCAAUCCUUGGGCCUCUCUCUGGGUCUUAGAAAAGUCUGUGUCAUUAGCUUCACAGUAAAUCCACUCUGACUACCUCACAGGGGAACUAGAGGAUGACACAACAUACAGACAGGGCGGGCCACUGGCACAAAGGUAACUUUGUGCUUAUUACACAAGGGUGACCCCUCCAGAUUGACACAGGGCUCAGGGCCAGGAGAGCAAGGGCUGGAUUUUAACCCUCACUAUUUUUCUUGGUUGGGGGCCUUUGGCAUUGGAAAAACUGGAGAUUGCUGAUAUAGCUGGGGGUUGAUACAUUCUACCAAGGUCCUUGGCCAACAGGGUGGAGGUAAGCAGGAACCACAUUCAAGUCCCCUUUUCUUGCCAAGUUGUAUGUCUCAACAUGCAGCUGCAUAUACCCAAGAAUAGGGCAUGUUUGGCUUCACACAAAGUCUCUGUCUUUCUGCUAAGCUCUGCGCCUACUUUUUGCUAAUGUGUGCAGAGAUGCCUUAGAGCUGGUGGGUGGGCCAGCAUAUUACACCAGUACAGGCAGCAGCCCUGAUCUCUGGCACGCAAUAAGCACUUUACAAACCUAAAUGUUCCUUUGUGUCCCUAUCCCACUCCCCUUCUUUCCUACCGAUGUAAGUUUUCCUUACUUGCUCAAUCUGUAUAACUCAAGGUCAUUAAAAAAGUUAGUUUGCAUAUUUUCAAGGAAGCAAUUGGAAACCUAAGUUGCUCCAGGGAAUUGCCGGUAAGUGUGUCCCUGUGCUUCCAGGGGAUUCCACAUAAGAUAACAUCUUUGGGGAUUUUGCCAGAUUCCUUGUCUAUAUGCACUGGUGCACUGUGACAAAGAUCCUUUGCUUGGCCAAACUUUAGUCAGAGUCCUGAACCCUCUCAUAGGUUCAUAUGUGUAUUUCCUUGUAAAAUCUAAUUUUAGCAAGAACCCUGUUAAGUCAGUUUAGCAAGACCAUCCCCACCCCACCCACCCUCAAUAUCUGAUCAGGUUCUUCAUCGUUCACCAUCUCCCAGGUGAUGUCUUAUCACCCUGGCCUGUCUUCAGCAAGAGUCUUGUGAGGUUGCCUUACACAGAAUCCCCCAUACUCCUCAUGUUUUCUCUUAGUAAUUUUCCAUCCACUGACCACCAUCCUGCUCCUUGGUUAUAAAUUUCUACUUGCCCAUGCUGUAUUUGGAGUUGAGCCCAAUCUCUCUCUCUCCCACUGCAAAAUCCCAUUGCUGUGAUCCCUAUACCUAUGAGAUGGUCCUGAAUAAAGUCCUUCUUACCAGGCUUUAUUACUUAUCCGUGAACAAUUUUUUCUUUAACUAGCAGGGAAGGAAUUUUCAGUUGUACCACUCUGGGAAUGCCCAGAGCUCAUAUUAGGCAAAGUCAAGCCAGAGGACUGUGCCUGGCCAGUCUCAGGUGGUGAUGGUGGGAUCAGGUAGCCAAGCAUCAAAGUCCUCUAAUUAGUCAGUCUUGCCUUUUGCACCUUGGUGGGAAGACGUGAAGCAAAUUCCUCAAAUGGCCCGUUCUCUACAAAGCAGCCACUAGAGGGCUCUAUAGGGUCUCUCUCUCUCUCUCUCUCUCUCUCUCUCUCUCUCUCUCUCUCUCUCUUUCUCUCUCUCUCUCUCUCUGAGGCUGUAGAUUUAGUUCUGUCUGCUUUCUAAGACCUUCUGAAGGGGCAAAGCUGGUUUACUUAGUUGCUUUCUUCAGCAAAAUGUAUACUGUUCAAUAAAUGUUGCAACU
ensembl:lncRNA